rfam:Vagococcus fluvialis bH819 genome assembly, contig: Scaffold2
GGUUAAAUAUUAACUGUACCGAAGACAGUAGGUGACGUAAGUCUUAAUUUCCUACCGAGGACCAUAUUGAAAGUAAUCAAUAGUCCCUCUAUGUCAACGGUGGCAUGGGGUUUUUUUAUAUAGAA